rnacentral:rRNA from 1 species
UACGUAGGGUGCAAGCGUUGUCCGGAAUUAUUGGGCGUAAAGAGCUCGUAGGCGGCUUGUCGCGUCUGCUGUGAAAACCAGAGGCUCAACCUCUGGCCUGCAGUGGGUACGGGCAAGCUAGAGUGCGGUAGGGGAGAUUGGAAUUCCUGGUGUAGCGGUGAAAUGCGCAGAUAUCAGGAGGAACACCGGUGGCGAAGGCGGGUCUCUGGGCCGAUACUGACGCUGAGGAGCGAAAGCGUGGGGAGCGAACAGG